AUGUCAGCGCCCAACCUUGAGACCAUCAGAAUCAGGGGUUGCUGGGGCCUUACACGCUUGCCAUCUGUCAGUAGCAGCACCACCAAGCGGCCCAAGGUGGACUGCGAGAAGGACUGGUGGGACAACCUAAAGUGGGACGGUCUAGAGGCGAACCACGCCCCUUCGCUCUAUGAACCACGCCACUCGCGAUAUUACAAGGCCCACCUGCCAAGAUGCACCGUCCUCAGGUGA
rnacentral:rRNA from 1 species